UACCAGCUCUCCGAGUGGUAGGGAUGAUUAUUGGGCUUAAAGCGUCCGUAGCCGGCUUAGCAAGUCUCCUGUUAAAUUCAGCGACCUAAUCGUUGAGCCGCGGGAGAUACUACUAGGCUAGGAGGCGGGAGAGGUCGACGGUACUUUCGGGGUAGGGGUGAAAUCCUAUAAUCCCGGGAGGACCACCAGUGGCGAAGGCUGUCGACUAGAACGCGCUCGACGGUGAGGGACGAAAGCUGGGGGAGCGAACCGGAUUAGAUACCCGGGUAGUCCCAGCUGUAAACGAUGCGGGCUAGGUGUUGGGGUGGCUACGAGCCACUUCGGUGCCGCAGGGAAGCCAUUAAGCCCGCCGCCUGGGGAGUACGGCCGCAAGGCUGAAACUUAAAGGAAUUGGCGGGGGAGCACCACAAGGCGUGAAGCUUGCGGUUC
rnacentral:rRNA from 1 species